GAUGAACGCUGGCGGCGUGCCUAAUACAUGCAAGUCGAGCGAACAGACGAGGAGCUUGCUCCUCUGACGUUAGCGGCGGACGGGUGAGUAACACGUGGAUAACCUACCUAUAAGACUGGGAUAACUUCGGGAAACCGGAGCUAAUACCGGAUAACAUGUUGAACCGCAUGGUUUAACAGUGAAAGACGGUCUUGCUGUCACUUAUAGAUGGAUCCGCGCCGCAUUAGCUAGUUGGUAAGGUAACGGCUUACCAAGGCAACGAUGCGUAGCCGACCUGAGAGGGUGAUCGGCCACACUGGAACUGAGACACGGUCCAGACUCCUACGGGAGGCAACAGUAGGGAAUCUUCCGCAAAGGGCGAAAGCCUGACGGUGCAACGCCGCGUGAGUGAAGAAGGUCUUCGGAUCGUAAAACUCUGUUAUUAGGGAAGAACAAAUGUGUAAGUAACUAUGCACGUCUUGACGGUACCUAAUCAGAAAGCCACGGCUAACUACGUG
rnacentral:rRNA from 1 species